AACGCUAGCUACAGGCUUAACACAUGCAAGUCGAGGGGAAACGAUAGAGAAAGCUUGCUUUUUCUAGGCGUCGACCGGCGUACGGGUGAGUAACGCGUAUCCAACCUGCCCAUCACUUGGGAAUAACCUUGCGAAAGUAAGACUAAUACCCAAUGAUAUCUCUAGAAGACAUCUGAAGGAGAUUAAAGAUUUAUCGGUGAUGGAUGGGGAUGCGUCUGAUUAGCUUGUUGGCGGGGUAACGGCCCACCAAGGCUACGAUCAGUAGGGGUUCUGAGAGGAAGGUCCCCCACAUUGGAACUGAGACACGGUCCAAACUCCUACGGGAGGCAGCAGUGAGGAAUAUUGGUCAAUGGGCGAGAGCCUGAACCAGCCAAGUAGCGUGCAGGAUGACGGCCCUAUGGGUUGUAAACUGCUUUUAUAAGGGAAUAAAGUGAGUCUCGUGAGGCUUUUUGCAUGUACCUUAUGAAUAAGGACCGGCUAAUUCCGUGCCAGCAGCCGCGGUAAUACGGAAGGUCCGGGCGUUAUCCGGAUUUAUUGGGUUUAAAGGGAGCGUAGGCCGGAGAUUAAGCGUGUUGUGAAAUGUAGAUGCUCAACAUCUGCACUGCAGCGCGAACUGGUUUCCUUGAGUACGCACAAAGUGGGCGGAAUUCGUGGUGUAGCGGUGAAAUGCUUAGAUAUCACGAAGAACUCCGAUUG
rnacentral:rRNA from 1 species